rnacentral:misc_RNA from 1 species
ACACUUCAACCCUCACGGUUCGCCGUGAUGGGCUUGGACUCUGGAGGUUUUGCUGGCUUUACGGUCGGCUCCUCUCAAACGAAUUAGCUUACCGGUGUAUGGUGGCAUCACAGGUGUGAUAAACUAUCUGCGCUUGUGGUUGUCUGCCAGGUAACCUUCAGCCUUGGAGGUUUGCUGGAGCUUAUAAACGUCUCUCCUCAGCGAAGACAGCUUUCUGAAC